rnacentral:rRNA from 1 species
GUGGGGAAUUUUGGACAAUGGGCGCAAGCCUGACCCAGCAAUGCCGCGUGCGGGAAGAAGGCCUUCGGGUUGUAAACUGCUUUUGUACGGAACGAAAAGGCUCUGGUUAAUACCUUGGGCUCAUGACGGUACCGUACGAAUAAGCACCGGCUAACUACGUGCCAGCAGCCGCGGUCAUACGUAGGGUGCAAGCGUUAAUCGGAAUUACUGGGCGUAAAGCGUGCGCAGGCGGUUGUGUAAGUCAGACGUGAAAGCCCCGGGCUCAACCGGGGAAUGGCGUUUGUGACUGCAGAGCUGGAGUGCGGCAGAGGGGGAUGGAAUUCCGCGUGUAGCAGUGAAAUGCGUAGAUAUGCGGAGGAACACCGAUGGCGAAGGCAAUCCCCUGGGCCUUCACUGACGCUCAUGCACGAAAGCGUGGGGAGCAAACAGGAUUAGAAACCCGGGUAGUCC